GCAUCAGCAGUGUAACGGAUAGAGCACUCGCUCCUGUAAAGAGUGAGGUGCGGGUUCUAGUCCCGCCCGACGCG